rnacentral:rRNA from 1 species
CGGCUUAUAAGUCAGUGGUGAAAUCCCUACGCUUAACGUAGGAACGGCCAUUGAUACUGUUAGGCUUGAAUUAUUAGGAAGUAACUAGAAUAUGUAGUGUAGCGGUGAAAUGCUUAGAGAUUACAUGGAAUACCAAUUGCGAAGGCAGGUUACUACUAAUGGAUUGACGCUGAUGGACGAAAGCGUGGGUAGCGAACAGGAUUAGAUACCCUGGUAGUCCACGCCGUAAACGAUGGAUACUAGCUGUUGGGCGCAAGUUCAGUGGCUAAGCGAAAGUGAUAAGUAUCCCACCUGGGGAGUACGUUCGCAAGAAUGAAACUCAAAGGAAUUGACGGGGGCCCGCACAAGCGGUGGAGCAUGUGGUUUAAUUCGAUGAUACGCGAGGAACCUUACCAAGGCUUAAAUGUAGAUUGACCGAUUUGGAAACAGAUCUUUCGCAAGACAAUUUACAAGGUGCUGCAUGGUUGUCGUCAGCUCGUGCCGUGAGGUGUCAGGUUAAGUCCUAUAACGAGCGCAACCCCUGUUGUUAGUUGCCAGCGAGUCAAGUCGGGAACUCUAACAAGACUGCCAGUGCAAACUGUGAGGAAGGUGGGGAUGACGUCAAAUCAUCACGGCCCUUACGCCUUGGGCUACACACGUGCUACAAUGGACGGUACAGAGAGCAGCCACUACGUGAGUAGGAGCGAAUCUACAAAACCGUUCUCAGU